rnacentral:rRNA from 1 species
UACGUAGGGUGCGAGCGUUGUCCGGAAUUAUUGGGCGUAAAGAGCUCGUAGGCGGUGUGUCACGUCGGCCGUGAAAACCUGCAGCUUAACUGUGGGCGUGCGGUCGAUACGGGCAUGACUGGAGUUCGGCAGGGGAGACUGGAAUUCCUGGUGUAGCGGUGAAAUGCGCAGAUAUCAGGAGGAACACCGGUGGCGAAGGCGGGUCUCUGGGCCGAUACUGACGCUGAGGUGCGAAAGCGUGGGGAGCAAACAGG